rnacentral:rRNA from 1 species
AAUAGAUACCCCGGUAGUCCAUGCCGUAAACGUUGGGAACUAGAUGUAGGGCCUGUUCCACGGGUUCUGUGUCGUAGCUAACGCAUUAAGUUCCCCGCCUGGGGAGUACGGCCGCAAGGCUAAGACUCAAAGGAAUUGACGGGGGCCCGCACAAGCGGCGGAGCAUGCGGAUUAAUUCGAUGCAACGCGAAGAACCUUACCAAGGCUUGACAUAUAGCAGAACGCUCUAGAAAUAGAGAACUCUUUGGACACUGUUAUACAGGUGGUGCAUGGUUGUCGUCAGCUCGUGUCGUGAGAUGUUCGGUUAAGUCCGGCAACGAGCGCAACCCUCGUCCUAUGUUGCCAGCGCGUUAUGGCGGGAACUCAUGGGAUACUGCCGUGGUCAACACGGAGGAAGGUGGGGAUGACGUCAAAUCAUCAUGCCCCUUAUGUCUUGGGCUUCACGCAUGCUACAAUGGCCGGUACAAAGGGCUGCGAUACCGCGAGGUGGAGCGAAUCCCAAAAAGCCGGUCUCAGUUCGGAUUGGGGU